GAGAAGGGAAUAGAGGUAGAUCCCGAUAAAGUUCGAGCUAUUCAAGAGAUGCCAUCCCCAAGAACAGAAAGGGAGGUGCGCAGUUUCUUGGGGAAGUUGAACUACAUAUCAAGGUUUAUUUCCAAUCUCACCGCUAAAGCCGAGCCUAUCUUUAGACUUCUUCGGAAAAAUAACACCACCCAAUGGGAUUCAGUUUGUCAAGAG
rnacentral:misc_RNA from 1 species